UACUGAGUAACAGACACAAAAGAAAAUUACCACUGUAGCUUGGAAAAAACAUACCAUCUUUGCAGUGUUGGCACCAAAACAAAUUAACCCUAAGGGUUUUGGAGGGCCAAUGUGUGAGCAGAAUACUAACAAAAUCCACAAUAUUCUGGGUUUACAGCAGGUACGUGACAAGGAUUUUUAGAUGAGGCUUUUUUUCUGGAAAGGUCCCAAAGGUCCAAGCCUAGGAUCUAUCCUCUAUGUGAUGAGUGUACUCUAGUGGUGGCCUCUGAGCCUUUUUCCAGCAUUGCCUCUCUUAUGUUUACUUUUUUAUGCUGAUAAAUGAAGGUUAAAGCUGAACUGUGGGCAACAGAGUAGAUCAUCCCCAUGUGGAUAGAGGGAUAUACAUAAACUAUCUGAAGUACAUGAAGUAAUCUGACCUGUAAAUCUGAGUCGCCUGAUGCAUUCUUCCAUACCAGGCUUAUCACAUCCAAAACAACUGGCGUUUAUGAAGGUUCUCUUCCUCUAACUUUAAGUCGCCACAGAAAGCUCAGUGGUCACACUGCUUCAGUCAUUAUUUCUACUCCCACUGGGGCUACAAAUGGACAAAGUCUUAUUCCAGCAGCCACCAGCCAAUCAAAGAAAUGCCUGGAGCGUGCGAGCGCCACCAGCAGACACACACACAACAGGCUGUGGCUGGAACUGUGUAGGGUGUUCUGUAGUUUCUAGUUUCAUGCAGGGAUGAAUAAUUAGCUAAAAAUAUCUGUAAAUGCUGGAGUGCAUGUUAGUGAGCAAUUCUGAUCUGUAAAACUGGGGGAGUGGGGACAUAAGAUUUGAACUCCCUAUUAUGUAAAAUCCCCUACUAUGCCUAAAUAAAUUAUACAACUACGAUUUGCCAACAGGGAAUUUUAUUCAGUGUAAAAUCGUAAAUCAAGAAUAUUUUUUUCCUUUUUAUAUUGUAAUGAAGUUUGUAUAAAUUGCUAGUGAGAAAAUGUGUAAAUGAUAGACUGUGAAUUGG